AACGAACGCUGGCGGCAGGCCUAACACAUGCAAGUCGAGCGGACGUAGCAAUACGUCAGCGGCGCACGGGUGAGUAACGCGUGGGAACCUGCCCUUUGGUUCGGAACAACCCUGGGAAACUAGGGCUAAUACCGGAUAAGCCCCGUAAGGGGAAGAUUAUCGCCGAAGGAGGGCCGCGUCCGAUUAGCUAGUUGGUGGGGUAAGUGGCCUACCAAGGCUUCGAUCGGUAGCCGGUCUGAGAGGACGAUCGGCCACACUGGGACUGAGACACGGCCCAGACUCCUACGGGAGGCAGCAGUGGGGAAUAUUGGACAAUGGGGGAACCCUGAUCCAGCCAUGCCGCGUGGGUGAUGAAGGCCUUCGGUUGUAAGUA
rnacentral:rRNA from 1 species